rnacentral:rRNA from 1 species
UACGAAGGGGGCUAGCGUUGCUCGGAAUCACUGGGCGUAAAGCGCACGUAGGCGGAUCGUUAGUCGGGGGUGAAAUCCUGGAGCUCAACUCCAGAACUGCCUUCGAUACUGGCGAUCUUGGAGUCCGGGAGAGGUGAGUGGAACUCCGAGUGUAGAGGUGAAAUUCGUAGAUAUUCGGAAGAACACCAGUGGCGAAGGCGGCUCACUGGCCCGGUACUGACGCUGAGGUGCGAAAGCGUGGGGAGCAAACAGG